CACGUAGGGUGCGAGCGUUGUCCGGAAUUAUUGGGCGUAAAGAGCUCGUAGGCGGUGUGUCGCGUCGGCCGUGAAAACCUGCAGCUUAACUGUGGGCUUGCGGUCGAUACGGGCAUCACUGGAGUUCGGCAGGGGAGACUGGAAUUCCUGGUGUAGCGGUGAAAUGCGUAGAUAUCGAGAGGAACACCUGCGGCGAAGGCGGGUUGCUGGGCUGACACUGACGCUGAGGCGCGAAAGCCAGGGGAGCGAACGGG
rnacentral:rRNA from 1 species